GAUGAACGCUAGCGGGAGGCUUAACACAUGCAAGUCGAGGGGCAGCACGGGUAGCAAUACUUGGUGGCGACCGGCAGACGGGUGAGUAACGCGUAUGUAACCUACCCCAUACAGAGGGAUAACUCGAAGAAAUUCGGACUAAUAUCUCAUAAGACCACACGAGGACAUCCGAGAGUGGUUAAAGUUCCGGCGGUAUGGGCUGGGCAUGCGUAACAUUAGCUAGUUGGUAAGGUAACGGCUUACCAAGGCUUCGAUGUUUAGGGGUCCUGAGAGGGUGGUCCCCCACACUGGUACUGAGACACGGACCAGACUCCUACGGGAGGCAGCAGUGAGGAAUAUUGGUCAAUGGGCGCAAGCCUGAACCAGCCAUCCCGCGUGCAGGAAGACGGCCCUAUGGGUUGUAAACUGCUUUUCCAGGGGGCGAAUAGCUCUUACGUGUAAGGGUAUGACUGUACCUUGGGAAUAAGCAUCGGCUAACUUCGUG
rnacentral:rRNA from 1 species